GAAUGGUUUGGUUGUUUAUACGAAAUUGGUGAUAUGAAAAGCGCUGGUUCGAACUGAAAAAAAAAGGAAAAUCCACAUUGUUACAAAAUACUAGACAUGUAAUUUAUUCAAUGUGACAUCAACAACUUAAAAUGGAGAGGUCAGAUUGUUGAAACAGUGGUUAUGAAUCCAACUUUUGGAACACGAAGGAAAGGUGUUGACAUGAACUUUCUCUCUUCGGCGAUGAAGGUACGGUAGUGCUCUCCAUAUAAUUGGUAUCCAAGAUUUAUAUUAUUUGCUCAAUAUGUUGUUUGCAUUGGCAUUGCGUCCCCGUCUAUUCCUAGAUUAAUGUGUGGUUUUAUUAUUGUAUGAGGUUGCUUCUCAAGUAGUUUAUUCCUUACAAUAGACCACAACUAGAGAAGUAAGUUCUUCCAUACUAUCCUACCACAACAAAGGGAUUGACUGGUGGAAAAAAUUAUUUGUGUAGCAUCCACUGUAAAUAGUUUACAUAAGAACUUUCUUGAGUUUGUGGUGCUCAUAAAUCA